rnacentral:rRNA from 1 species
AACGAACGCUGGCGGCAGGCCUAACACAUGCAAGUCGAGCGAGGUAGCAAUAUCUAGCGGCGGACGGGUGAGUAACGCGUGGGAACGUACCCUUUGCUACGGAAUAGCCCCGGGAAACUGGGAGUAAUACCGUAUGUGCCCUUCGGGGGAAAGAUUUAUCGGCAAAGGAUCGGCCCGCGUUGGAUUAGGUAGUUGGUGGGGUAAUGGCCUACCAAGCCGACGAUCCAUAGCUGGUUUGAGAGGAUGAUCAGCCACACUGGGACUGAGACACGGCCCAGACUCCUACGGGAGGCAGCAGUGGGGAAUCUUAGACAAUGGGCGCAAGCCUGAUCUAGCCAUGCCGCGUGAGUGAUGAAGGCCUUAGGGUUGUAAAGCUCUUUCAGAUGGGAAGAUAAUGACGGUACCAUCAGAAGAAGCCCCGGCUAACUCCGUG